rnacentral:rRNA from 1 species
UAACGUGUGGGCAACCUGCCCUGCACUGGGGAAUAAUCAUUGGAAACGAUGACUAAUACCGCAUACGGUUCCUGGGAGGCAUCUUCUGGGAAAGAAAGGAUUUAUUCGGUGCAGGAUGGGCCCGCAUCUGAUUAGCUAGUUGGUGAGAUAACAGCCCACCAAGGCGACGAUCAGUAGCCGACCUGAGAGGGUGACCGGCCACAUUGGGACUGAGACACGGCCCAAACUCCUACGGGAGGCAGCAGUGGGGAAUAUUGCACAAUGGGCGAAAGCCUGAUGCAGCAACGCCGCGUGAAGGAAGAAGGGUUUCGGCUCGUAAACUUCUAUCAACAGGGACGAAAGAAGUGACGGUACCUGAAUAAGAAGCCCCGGCUAACUACGUGCCAGCAGCCGCGGUAAUACGUAGGGGGCAAGCGUUAUCCGGAAUUACUGGGUGUAAAGGGUGAGUAGGCGGCAUGGUAAGCCAGAUGUGAAAGCCUUGGGCUUAACCCGAGGAUUGCAUUUGGAACUAUCAAGCUGGAGUGCAGGAGAGGAAAGCGGAAUUCCUAGUGUAGCGGUGAAAUGCGUAGAUAUUAGGAAGAACACCAGUGGCGAAGGCGGCUUUCUGGACUGAAACUGACGCUGAGGCACGAAAGCGUGGGGAGCGAGCAGGAUUAGAUACCCUGGUAGU